AAGUGCCACCUACUAGGUUAAUUACCCCCUUCUGAGCCACUGUAACCCCUUUAGGGGUGGUGUGGAAUGAACACCCCAUCACAUCUUGAGUCCCUGCUUCCCAGGAUCAAGUCCCCCAUCUUUGAUCCAGAAGCAUUCAAGAGCAUUUUCUUCCAAGUUAUCAGUGACUCAGACUGGGUGGCUGUGGGGUGCUGAAAGCCAUGGAACAAAACUGUAAACCCUGUAUACG